GGGUCAGGAGCAUGUGACUCAUCCUCUCUGUCUUCUCCCUUCUGUGUAUGCAGCUGCAGAGGGAGCUGACUUGUGAUUGGCUGUCUUCCAAUCUAGAGUUCAGAUUGCAGACCCAUGAAUUCUGGAACAGGAAGAACAGGAAGCUCAGUCACAACCUCUGUGCUGUGAAUGUCAGGGCUGCUGUUCCUCCCGAGGCCUCCAGGGACUGCUAAGGAGACAGACUCUCAGAGAACCGUCUUCUGUGUGCACCCUGCUGGAGUCUGCCUGCAGUGUUCCAGCAAGCAGGGGAUGCUGACCCUCUCCCGACCACCCUUGCACUGUUUGUCACCUGCACCCCGAAGCAGGGUUCUUCAGUUUCUGCCAGCAUGGCACCGGAAAUAGACCUGAAGAUAAAGAUCUUAAUGCAAGUGAGUUACUGAAGAGACACAGGAGCUGGGUAACUAUAUUUUAUGAGUCUUUUCUAAAAUAGCCAACAUAACAUUACAACAAAGAAUUAAAUAAAGUAUGGCAUCCUCAUGUGCUGUACUAUUUUUUAACAUUUAUAUUUUCUUUUUUUUUCAACUUUUAAGUGCCAGGGUACAUGUGCAGGAUGUGCAAGUUUGUUACAUAGGUAAGUUUGUGCCAUGGUUGUUUGCUGGACAGAUCAACUCAUCACCUAGGUAUUAAGCCCAGCAUCCUUUAGCUAGUCUUCCUGGUGCUCACCCUACCACUGUGUACCACCUCCCAAAAGGCAUCUGUGUUGUUCCCUUCCAUGUACCCAUGUGUUCUCACUGUGCAGCUCCCACUUUUGCUUGUUUUUCUGUUCCUGUGUUUGCUGAGGAUAAAACAGCUUCCAGCUCUGUCCAUGUCCCUGCAAAGGAGGUGAUUUCAUUCAUUUUUAUGGCUGCAUAGUAUUCCAUGGUGUAUGUGUACCACAUUUUCUUUAUCCAGUCUAUCAUUGAUGGGCAUUUUAGUUCAUUCCAUGUCUUUGCUAUUGUGAUUAGUGUUUCAAUGAAUGUACAUGUACAUGUAUCUUUAUAAUAGAAUGAUUUAUAUUCCUUGGGGUAUACACCCAUGAGAUUACUGGGUCAAAUGGUAUUUCUGCUUCUAGAUCUUUGAGGAA
rnacentral:lncRNA from 1 species